CUAGAACGUCAUGCUGAGCUUGCCGAAGCAUCGCUACUGCUUCGUUGAAUAACUGCUGCGAAGCGGUAGCGAUGCUUCGGCAAGCUCAGCAUGACGUUUUGGUAAGCAUAGACAGCUACCCGAAUACCUGUCAUAAAACAUAAGCCCCCGAUUCGUUAACGAAUCGGGGGCUUAUG
rnacentral:ncRNA from 1 species